CCAAUAGCGUAUAUUAAAGUUGUUGCAGUUAAAAAGCUCGUAGUUGAACUUCGGGGUUUACUCAUUGGUCAGGCUUAAUUGUCUGUACUGGUUAGAUGAAUCUCUACCUUCUGAGGAACUUUCAUGCCAUUUGUUUGGUGUGAUUGGAAAUCAGGACUGUUACUUUGAAAAAAUUAGAGUGUUUAAAGCAGGCUAACGUCUGAAUACAUUAGCAUGGAAUAAUGAAAUAGGACGGAUUGAUUCUAUUUCGUUGGUUUCUAGGGUCACCGUACUGAUUAAU
rnacentral:rRNA from 1 species